rnacentral:rRNA from 1 species
GGCUCAGAUUGAACGCUGGCGGCAGGCCUAACACAUGCAAGUCGAGCGGUAGAGAGAAGCUUGCUUCUCUUGAGAGCGGCGGACGGGUGAGUAAUGCCUAGGAAUCUGCCUGGUAGUGGGGGAUAACGUUCGGAAACGGACGCUAAUACCGCAUACGUCCUACGGGAGAAAGCAGGGGACCUUCGGGCCUUGCGCUAUCAGAUGAGCCUAGGUCGGAUUAGCUAGUUGGUGGGGUAAUGGCUCACCAAGGCGACGAUCCGUAACUGGUCUGAGAGGAUGAUCAGUCACACUGGAACUGAGACACGGUCCAGACUCCUACGGGAGGCAGCAGUGGGGAAUAUUGGACAAUGGGCGAAAGCCUGAUCCAGCCAUGCCGCGUGUGUGAAGAAGGUCUUCGGAUUGUAAAG